rnacentral:rRNA from 1 species
AACUUUCAACAACGGAUCUCUUGGCUCUGGCAUCGAUGAAGAACGCAGCGAAAUGCGAUACGUAAUGCGAAUUGCAGAAUCCAGUGAGUCAUCGAAUCUUUGAACGC